GUGCUCGCUUUGGCAGCACAUAUACUAAAAUGGGAAUGAAACAGAGAACGUUAGCAUGGCCCUUGCGCAAGGAUGACACGCAAAUUUGUGUAGCAUUCCAUAUUUUU